rnacentral:rRNA from 1 species
GACGAACGCUGGCGGCGUGCUUAACACAUGCAAGUCGAACGGAAAGGCCCUGCUUUUGUGGGGUGCUCGAGUGGCGAACGGGUGAGUAACACGUGAGUAACCUGCCCUUGACUUUGGGAUAACUUCAGGAAACUGGGGCUAAUACCGGAUAGGAGCUCCUGCUGCAUGGUGGGGGUUGGAAAGUUUCGGCGGUUGGGGAUGGACUCGCGGCUUAUCAGCUUGUUGGUGGGGUAGUGGCUUACCAAGGCUUUGACGGGUAGCCGGCCUGAGAGGGUGACCGGCCACAUUGGGACUGAGAUACGGCCCAGACUCCUACGGGAGGCAGCAGUGGGGAAUAUUGCACAAUGGGCGGAAGCCGGAUGCAGCAACGCCGCGUGCGGGAUGACGGCCUUCGGGUUGUAAACCGCUUUCGCCUGUGACGAAGCGUGAGUGACGGUAAGGGGUAAAGAAGCACCGGCUAACUACGUGC